ensembl:lncRNA
CCUUCUGAUGUGCAGCAGGGUUUGCACUGGGUCUUGCUGCUGCUCCGUGGGAAGGCCAGAGAGCUACUGCCAUGGGUUGUCCCACAGAACCAACACUCUGGAUCAGACCCAAUGUUUGCCUUCUUAUGUCCCUCCAUUCACCUGUUCUGUGAAUAGCCAUGAAUAUGGAGAAAAAAUGCAUCAUCAAAGCCGGCAGAAUGCAAAAAUCUUUCUGUCUCACCUCGUAUCUGUGGUUUUCUACUGCCCAUCUGCUGUGUGAGCCAUCCAUGAAACAGCAUCAUUGUCUGCACAAGAGAACAGUGAAGAGAUGGAUGUUUAUUAUGUAAAUGACAACAAUGACCAAUUCAGUACUGAGGAAACACAGCCGUGUCACCCCAGGAAAGAAGAGAAAACAUGAUACUUGUGAUAGCAGAAU